CGGGAGGCAGGCUCCGCCCAAUCCCCUCGCAAUGCGCGUGCGCCCUGGAACCGCUUCCUUUCCCAGGUCUAAGUUCGUGUCCGCGAACUCCCGCCUCUUCGCUUUUGCUCCGCUAGGGAUUUCACGUGCGCCUAGGCGGCUGCGGAGGCGGGAACCUGGCUGGGUCGCCUUUUCGAGGGCGCAGGGGGAAAUACUUCUUUCCUGCAUCAGAUGUUUCUUGAAGUAUGGAGUGGGUGCCAUGAUCUUAACUCUCAAUACUCUAUUCCAGUGCUACUAACAAGUUUCCUGAUGUGACAUUCAAGGGAACAAAAUCUAUACCAGUGACCCCAGGAGAUUCCACAAAAGGGAGAAGAGACCUUAUGAAGAUGCGAGCACAAUUGCCCUAACUGACCUCUGACUUCUUGUCUGAGGAGGAUAACCAUAUCCGAAGUUGAUCUCAGUGGUAAGCUGAAGGCAUAAGCAAUGGUCUUUAUACAUUUUGCUGACAUACCCCCCAAAUAAUUUUUAAGUUGAUGUGUAAAAUUUUUUGUCCUAAAAUUAGUUGCAAAAGAUGUAAUUUCUGGUUAAAGUAAAUAUGAAUGUUUUAAAAUAAAAAGGGUUAAGAUGCAUAUAAUCAAAUCAAAUUCCAUAGAAAUUGAAUACUCAUCAU